rnacentral:rRNA from 1 species
GCGAUACAGGGUGACAGCCCCGUACACAAAAAUGCACAUAUUGUGAGCUCGAUGAGUAGGGCGGGACACGUGGUAUCCUGUCUGAAUAUGGGGGGACCAUCCUCCAAGGCUAAAUACUCCUGACUGACCGAUAGUGAACCAGUACCGUGAGGGAAAGGCGAAAAGAACCCCGGCGAGGGGAGUGAAAAAGAACCUGAAACCGUGUACGUACAAGCAGUGGGAGCCUCUUAAUGGGGUGACUGCGUACCUUUUGUAUAAUGGGUCAGCGACUUAUAUUCUGUAGCAAGGUUAACCGAAUAGGGGAGCCGAAGGGAAACCGAGUCUUAACUGGGCGUUAAGUUGCAGGGUAUAGACCCGAAACCCGGUGAUCUAGCCAUGGGCAGGUUGAAGGUUGGGUAACACUAACUGGAGGACCGAACCGACUAAUGUUGAAAAAUUAGCGGAUGACUUGUGGCUGGGGGUGAAAGGCCAAUCAAACCGGGAGAUAGCUGGUUCUCCCCGAAAGCUAUUUAGGUAGCGCCUCGUGAAUUCAUCUCCGGGGGUAGAGCACUGUUUCGGCAAGGGGGUCAUCCCGACUUACCAACCCGAUGCAAACUGCGAAUACCGGAGAAUGUUAUCACGGGAGACACACGGCGGGUGCUAACGUCCGUCGUGAAGAGGGAAACAACCCAGACCGCCAGCUAAGGUCCCAAAGUCAUGGUUAAGUGGGAAACGAUGUGGGAAGGCCCAGACAGCCAGGAUGUUGGCUUAGAAGCAGCCAUCAUUUAAAGAAAGCGUAAUAGCUCACUGGUCGAGUCGGCCUGCGCGGAAGAUGUAACGGGGCUAAACCAUGCACCGAAGCUGCGGCAGCGACACUAUGUGUUGUUGGGUAGGGGAGCGUUCUGUAAGCCUGUGAAGGUGGCCUGUGAGGGUUGCUGGAGGUAUCAGAAGUGCGAAUGCUGACAUAAGUAACGAUAAAGCGGGUGAAAAGCCCGCUCGCCGGAAGACCAAGGGUUCCUGUCCAACGUUAAUCGGGGCAGGGUGAGUCGACCCCUAAGGCGAGGCCGAAAGGCGUAGUCGAUGGGAAACAGGUUAAUAUUCCUGUACUUGGUGUUACUGCGAAGGGGGGACGGAGAAGGCUAUGUUGGCCGGGCGACGGUUGUCCCGGUUUAAGCGUGUAGGCUGGUUUUCCAGGCAAAUCCGGAAAACCAAGGCUGAGGCGUGAUGACGA